GGGGCUGAUUAUGGAUUCGACAGGAUAUGUGAAACUCUAGGAGCAUGCCGAGGGGCGGUUUGCCUCGUUAAAAGCCGUAAAAAAAUAGUUGCAAAUGAUGAUAACUUUUCGCCUUCUGCGUUAGCAGCGUAAUUAGUCUAAUAAACUAAAGGUGUCUUCUCUCCUAGCCUAUUCUCUUUAGGACGGGAUCAAGAGAGGUCAGGCCAAUAAAGAGAUCGCGCAUGAACCUUGCUUAGGGCAAUUGCGUUAAAUAAAGUUAAGCUGGUUUUUAGGUGGCGUGUCAGUUCGCAACUUAUUAACGACAACAAUAACUAGACUAAGCAUGUAGUUCUGAUAGCAGAACAAUUCUGGACGCGGGUUCAACUCCCGCCAGCUCCACCA
rnacentral:tmRNA from 1 species